rnacentral:rRNA from 1 species
CCCCUAGAUGUUCUGGGCCGCACGCGCGCUACACUGAACAGUUCAACAAGUCUUAACCUUGGCCGAUAGGUCUGGGUAAUCUUUGAACGCUGUUCGUGAUUGGGAUAGACCUUUGCAAUUAUGGGUCUUCAACGAGGAAUUCCUAGUAAACGCAAGUCAUCAGCUUGCAUUGAUUACGUCCCUGCCCUUUGUACACAUCGCCCGUCGCACCUACCGAUUGAAUGGUCCGGUGAAAUCUCGGGACGGCGGCUUGGUCGCUUGCGUCCGACUGCUGAAACUUGAUUAAACCAUAUCAUUUAGAGGAAGGUGAAGUCGUANCA